rnacentral:tRNA from 1 species
UCCAAUGUGGUGUAGUGGCUAACAUUGCUGUCUUUCAUCAGCCAAAAUCAAAUAAUGCUCUGCACAGCAGCCCGGGGUUCGAUUCCCCGCAUUGGAA